rnacentral:ncRNA from 1 species
AAUUGCACCCUGCUUUAAGGUUCCACAGGGUUUCACAACCUGAGGAUUAAACGGGAAGUCGGUUAAGUUUACCCCAAUCCGACGCUGCCCCCGCAACGGUAUGCCAGUAAAGAAUCAUCGAGUGCCACUGUGUUUACGCAUGGGAAGGUGAUGGUUCAGGUAAUCCAAAUUACCACUGAUAAGCCCGGAGACCUGCCUGUAAGCAUAUUCGGCA